GAUGAACGCUGGCGGCGUGCCUAAUACAUGCAAGUAGAACGCUGAAGGAGGAGCUUGCUCUUCUGGCUGAGUCGCGAACGGGUGAGUAACGCGUAGGUAACCUGCCUGGUAGCGGGGGAUAACUAUUGGAAACGAUAGCUAAUACCGCAUGACAACAGUUAUUGCAUGAUAACUGUUUAAAAGGGGCAACUGCUCCACUACCAGAUGGACCUGCGUUGUAUUAGCUAGUUGGUGAGGUAACGGCUCACCAAGGCGACGAUACAUAGCCGACCUGAGAGGGUGAUCGGCCACACUUGGACUGGGACACGGCCCAGACUCCUACGGGAGGCAGCAGGAGGGAAACUUCGGCAAUGGACGGAAGUCUGACCGAGCAACGCCGCGGGAGGGAAGAAGGGUUUCGGGUCGUAAAGGUCUGUUGUAAGGGAAGAACGAGUGUGAGGGUAGAAAGUUCACGCUGUGACGGUAUCUUACCAGAAAGGAACGGCUAACUACGUG
rnacentral:rRNA from 1 species